UGACUGAGCCUGCAGGAGGAAGCAGCUCUGUGAAUCCUUUCUCUGAAAGUUUACAUUGCAAUUGUAACUCUCCUGCCCUUGGACAGUUUUAACUCAUCUGCAUCAACAUCUUAAAAAGGAUUUGACAAAGUUUUGUCCCAAAUCACCUCCCUGUUCCUGUUCCUGCCUUUAGAAGUUCCCAGUGUGGCUGAGCCUUGUUGUGGUCGUAGCUGGGGAUGCAGGGAGCAGCACCCUCACAUCUACAGAGACUUACACAGGUAUUUAUCCAUCUGCUGGGUACCCACGCCUCU
rnacentral:lncRNA from 1 species